rnacentral:lncRNA from 1 species
UUUUAGAGAGAACAAACAACAAUGGCUGCUACAUCUGGGGCUGUACUAAAUGGAUUAGGCUCUUCAUUUCUUUGUGGGGGAAAGAGGAGCCAAGCCCUUUUGGGUGCUAGCAUUGGGGCCAAAGGCUCGCCCUCCCCUGCUGCUGGAACUAGAAAGUUGAUCGUUGUGGCAGCCGCCGCACCUAAAAAGUCUUGGAUCCCUGCUGUUAAAGGUGGUGGCAACUUCAUUGACCCGG